rnacentral:rRNA from 1 species
GACAGAGGGUGCAAACGUUGUUCGGAAUUAUUGGGCGUUAAAGCGCGUGUAGGCGGCCAAGUAAGUCUUACGUGAAAUCCUGAGGCUCAACCUCAGCCUGCGCGGGAGUACUGCUUGGCUAGAGUCGGAAGAGGAGAGUGGAAUUCCUGGUGUAGCGGUGGAAUGCGCAGAUAUCAGGAGGAACACCGAUGGCGAAGGCAGAUCUCUGGGCCGGUAAC